rnacentral:rRNA from 1 species
CAGUCGCCGCGGUAAUACGAACCGAGCGAACGUUAUUCGGUAUCACUGGGCUUAAAGGGUGCGUAGGCGGGCUCGUUAGUCAGGGGUGAAAUCCCACGGCCCAACCGUGGAAGUGCCUCUGAUACUGCGGGCCUCGAGGGGGAUAGGGGCGUGCGGAACUUCCGGUGGAGCGGUGAAAUGCGUGGAUAUCGGAAGGAACACCGGUGGCGAAAGCGGCGCGCUGGAUCCCUACUGACGCUGAGGCACGAAAGCCAGGGGAGCAAACGGGAUUAGAUACCCGGGUAGUCCCUGUCUCUUAUAA